rnacentral:rRNA from 1 species
AGUGAACGCUGGCGGUAGGCCUAACACAUGCAAGUCGAACGGCAGCACAGUAAGAGCUUGCUCUUACGGGUGGCGAGUGGCGGACGGGUGAGGAAUACAUCGGAAUCUACUUUUUCGUGGGGGAUAACGUAGGGAAACUUACGCUAAUACCGCAUACGACCUACGGGUGAAAGCAGGAGAUCUUCGGACCUUUCGCGAUUGAAUGAGCCGAUGUCGGAUUAGCUAGUUGGCGGGGUAAAGGCCCACCAAGGCGACGAUCCGUAGCUGGUCUGAGAGGAUGAUCAGCCACACUGGAACUGAGACACGGUCCAGACUCCUACGGGAGGCAGCAGUGGGGAAUAUUGGACAAAGGGCGCAAGCCUGAUCCAGCCAUACCGCGUGGGUGAAGAAGGCCUUCGGGUUGUAAAGCCCUUUUGUUGGGAAAGAAAAGCAGCAGGUUAAUACCCCGCUGUUCUGACGGUACCCAAAGAAUAAGCACCGGCUAACUUCGUG